UACGUAGGGAGCGAGCGUUAUCCGGAUUUAUUGGGUGUAAAGGGUGCGUAGACGGGUUAGCAAGUUAGUUGUGAAAUCCCUCGGCUUAACUGAGGAACUGCAACUAAAACUGUUAAUCUUGAGUGCAGGAGAGGUAAGUGGAAUUCCUAGUGUAGCGGUGAAAUGCGUAGAUAUUAGGAGGAACACCAGUGGCGAAGGCGACUUACUGGACUGUAACUGACGUUGAGGCACGAAAGUGUGGGGAGCAA
rnacentral:rRNA from 1 species